rnacentral:lncRNA from 1 species
GUCUGAUCUUUGAGAAUUAAUGUUUGUCUUGGGAGAUGUGCGAACCUGGGCCCACAGCUGUGGGAAAGCCAAUUAAGGGAUCCAACGUAGAGAAGACCCAGGCCCAAUCCUGGCCAUGCCUGCUUCCCGCCCCUUCCCAGAACACACUCUUGAGCACAGCUUUUUGUUUCCUUCUAUACAAUACAAUUUCGACUUUAUUUCUCCAGUCUUUCAGGACGGAAUGGCACAUACAUCCUCGUUGUCAGAGAGCAUCCACACUGCACCCUCAACGAGCAACUUAGCAUCCAGGGCAAGAGGAGAAGCACCUUCCCCUAAGCACAUUUUCCAGUGGUGACACAGUAUUGUAAAGAAACUAUGCUGACCUGGGAGCUGUGGAGUUGAUGCUGAAAGAGCGCCGGCAGCAGCAGCGGGGAAGAAAGCUACAUGGAGAGGUCAGUGCUUCUCAAACUUGGCUGCACAGUGGAAUCACCUGACAGAGGUUUAAACUUCCCCAAGCUCAGGACUCACUCCUUAAGCUCAAUCUUUUCAAUGAGGUGCAGGAGCCGGCUCAUUCUGGCUGCAAUUCUCUCUCCAAUUCUGUAUUCAGUGGCAUCCUGGUGGUAGCUUAAGAUUGGCCACAACGUGAUAUUUGUAUUACAGCAAUUGACAAAUAAGACAAAUCACAAAUCAGCCCCCACUGCCACUUCCUCCCCUCAGAGCUGGGUCAACAGCACAUGGCUCAGACACUCUCCGGAGGUUUCCAAAGGGCAGCCAACUUUGAGAGCUCCGGGUCGAGGUCAGCUCCCCUUUUGGCCUGUGGCGUCCCACCAAAUAGUAUCUUGCUUGGGUGCUUCCUUUUCCCCAGUCCCGCCUUGGGGUUAGCAUCAUUGCAUGGGGUAACUGGGCUUGCCUCCAGGGAGCCCGAGUGCAAUACAGAAGAGAGAGUGGAACUGUGGCUUCAUUUGUAGCUGUUACUGCAUUUCUCUGAAUACAACUCGAUUUUCUUUUAGAGCUAGCCAAAUCUCUUUCAGUAUACCUUUAGGGUUGGAUCUAUGGAGGCAUGCUAUUUCGUUGAAGGAGGCGGGAGAAACUUUGAAUAAUGUUGUGCAAUUAGGAACCCUAAUUACCCACUCUUGAGAUUGCAAUUUCUCAUUCAGAGGCAUCAUUUUCUAUGGUGUAAUUUGCUAGGUCUGACUCCCCUGGCUGGAUCUGAUUUGAGUAAAGUGGGCACCGCCCCAUCUGAAGGCAGUCUCACGAUGGCUACCACACAUCAAACUGACUUUCCUGCCUCACAAAAUCACACUACACAACGCCCAGCUUCAUUCCUCUCUCAGAGGCCCGAUUAGUCAUCUUUUGCUUGGUGAAGCAGCCUGUAGCAUUAACUCAAAGCAAGCUACCGCCGCCACCACGUGCUGUGCAAAUCUGACUGGACAAACUUUGACUCAGCGAUGCCCCUGGGACACCUAGAAAUCCCAGGGACAGAGAGGACCCUUGAAAAGCCAGGAACUGCUCAUUUUAAAAGUGGUGCUGGGCCCUGAAGAACACUCAAGAAUAGAGGGCAACUUUGGUCUCUGCCACGAGGGGGCAGAAGGAAGCUGGAAGGGGUGUCCUUACCCACAUUGGAAGUGGGAGUCCAAUUGGGAUUUAUUCCAGGGAGAGGACCAGGGCAAAUAAAUGGUCACAGUUAGGUGUACAUACCAUGGGGCUCCUUGGGAAGAUGGGCUGCCGAGGGCAGCUGCUUUCAAAUGCU